GACGAACGCUGGCGGCGUGCCUAAUACAUGCAAGUAGAACGCUGAAGAGAAGAGCUUGCUCUUCUUGGAUGAGUUGCGAACGGGUGAGUAACGCGUAGGUAACCUGCCUGGUAGCGGGGGAUAACUAUUGGAAACGAUAGCUAAUACCGCAUAAAAUUGAUUAUUGCAUGAUAAUUAAUUGAAAGAUGCAAUUGCAUCACUACCAGAUGGACCUGCGUUGUAUUAGCUAGUUGGUGAGGUAACGGCUCACCAAGGCGACGAUACAUAGCCGACCUGAGAGGGUGAUCGGCCACACUGGGACUGAGACACGGCCCAGACUCCUACGGGAGGCAGCAGUAGGGAAUCUUCGGCAAUGGGGGGAACCCUGACCGAGCAACGCCGCGUGAGUGAAGAAGGUUUUCGGAUCGUAAAGCUCUGUUGUAAGAGAAGAACGGGUGUGAGAGUGGAAAGUUCACACUGUGACGGUAUCUUACCAGAAAGGGACGGC
rnacentral:rRNA from 1 species